rnacentral:miRNA from 1 species
GUGGUUUGUUUUUUCUUUUU